CAUGCAUGCAUGAAAAGGAUACAUGGUGAUGAUUCUGGGCAGAAACACUGCACUGGACAAUAUUUCGAUUAUUGGUAUUGUGUUGACAAAUGUGUUGCACCAAAGCUAUUCCCCAAAUUGAAGUAAUAGGGUAGAAUGUUUUGGUAUUAUAAUACCGUUCUGUUUUAUCUUCAUUCCCAAAUAACUGCUCCUAAACAUGUGAUUUUGUAACCAAAACUCAUGCCCUGUAUGGUUAUUUAUUUUGCUCAUUGAGAAAUUUUGAUCCCAUGGAGACAUUGGAUGAUUAUGAAUGAAUAAUUACAUUAUGCCAAUUUGGCAGUCAUUUCCUUCA